rnacentral:rRNA from 1 species
UACGUAGGGGGCAAGCGUUUGUCCGGAUUUAUUGGGCGUAAAGAGCGUGUAGGCGGUUUGGUAGGUCCGCUGUGAAAACUCGAGCUCAACCUCGAGACGCCGGUGGAAACCAUCAGACUAGAGUCCGGAAGAGGAGAGUGGAAUUCCUGGUGUAGCGGUGAAAUGCGCAGAUAUCAGGAAGAACACCCGUGGCUAAGGCGGCUCUCUAGUACGGUACUGGACGCUGAGACGCGAAAGCGUGGGAGCGAACAGG